UACGAAGGGGGCUAGCGUUGCUCGGAAUGACUGGGCGUAAAGGGCGCGUAGGCGGCCACGCACGUCCGUUGUGAAAUCGCCCGGCUCAACUGGGCGGGGUCAGCGGAUACGGUGUGGCUAGAGCAAGGUAGGGGGCAAUGGAAUUCCCGGUGUAGUGGUGGAAUGCGUAGAUAUCGGGAGGAACACCAGUGGCGAAGGCGACUACCUGGCCUGUUCUUGACGCUGAGGCGCGAAAGCUAGGGGAGCAAACGGG
rnacentral:rRNA from 1 species